UCCGGUUCUUCACCAGCAGUCUCCUUAGAGUCCCCACCAUUACAUGUUGGCAACUAAGGAUAAGGGUUGCGCUCGUUACGGGACUUAACCCAACAUCUCACAACACGAGCUGACGACAGCCAUGCAGCACCUGUCUCUAGGGUCCUUUCGGCACUCCAGCAUCUCUGCUAGAUUCCUAGGAUGUCAAGGGUAGGUAAGGUUCUUCGCGUUGCGUCGAAUUAAACCACAUGCUCCACCGCUUGUGCGGGCCCCCGUCAAUUCCUUUGAGUUUUAACCUUGCGGUCGUACUCCCCAGGCGGAAGACUUAUCGCGUUAGCUUCGAUACUAAACAGUCUUGCUGCCCAACAUCUAGUCUUCAUCGUUUACAGCGUGGACUAC
rnacentral:misc_RNA from 1 species